UACGAAGGGGGCUAGCGUUGCUCGGAAUUACUGGGCGUAAAGGGCGCGUAGGCGGCCGAUCAAGUCAGGCGUGAAAUUCCCGGGCUCAACCUGGGGGCUGCGCUUGAGACUGGUUGGCUAGAGGCCGAGAGAGGGUGGUGGAAUUCCCAGUGUAGAGGUGAAAUUCGUAGAUAUCGGGAGGAACAUCAGUGGCGAAGGCGGCUGCCUGGCCCAAUACUGACACUCAGGUGCGACAGCGUGGGGAGCAAACAGG
rnacentral:rRNA from 1 species